UACCCUCAAACCAUCAUUAUCUGGUCAUUGCGGAAGUCAUAGUGCAACCAACAGCUUAAUCAUCCGCGCAAUAAAUUAAAAUACAAAACAUUACAUAUAAAUAUUUAGUAAAUAUACUUCUGAAUCUAUUGAAGUAUGGAAAAAGACUGCGGAUUAUGGGCGCAUAGAGGAUCUGCACUGCGUAAAAGAGGGCUUUUUUCGGAUAUUAUUAUUCGAGUUGAAAACUCCGCCUUCCAAUGCCACAAAAUAGUUUUGGCCUCGGCAUCCGAGUUUUUUGAAAUAUUAUUACAGAAAGAGGGUUUAAAUACGGGGGAAGUGAUAUUGCAGGAUGCAACACCACAAGUUUUUGAAAUAUUUCUUGAUUUCAUAUACACAAAAGAUAAAUGUCCAUUGAAGCAAACCAAACCAUACUUAUUGCUGUCUCUUUUAAAGUGUGCAAAUAUGUGGCUGGCAUGCGAAGUUCAGCAAGUAUGUGAAUCAAUUUUCUUAGAAAGUCGUAUGGAACCAAAGCAAUGGAUUCAACUUUAUGCCGUAUCAUUUCUUCUGGACAAUAAAUCGUUAAUGUCGCACGCCGUUGGGAUAUUACAACGCCAUAACCAUUUCGACUGUCCGGAAUUUAUGGAAUUGGAAAUGGACUGCUUUGUAGAGUAUUUUUCGUGUACGAAAGGUUUGGAUCAAUUGAAGCGCUUUACUAUGUUAGAUAUGUGGAUACAAAAAAAUAUUCCAAAAGAACAUAGGGUUUUACACAUGAAUAAUGGGAAAAUUGUGCAAAAACGUAAUCCAAGUUCAACCACAUCGGAUCACGAUAAGAUUACUGUUCUUUUGGAUAGCAUUGACUUUGAGAGAAUGUCUUUGGAUGAUUUUUAUACAGGCCCUGCAAAGUCAAAUCUUUUGACGGAAUCUGCCAAAAUUGAAUUAAUGUAUAAAAUGGCCAAAAAAAGAGGCCCCGCUCAAUUGCAUAUAUCGAGAUGCAAUGGGUUCCAAUCGAGAUGCAAUGGGUUCCAACAUUCUUAAAAUUAAAAGCUAGCUUUCUUUCUGAUUUCUCUUUAAAAAAAAACAAUAAAAGAGAUUAUUUUGCCCGAAGAAAAUUAU